GGGGAGGUUCCCGGAAACGAAAGUUUUUCGGUUCCGGGGGAAGUAUGGUUGCAAAACUGAAACUUAAAGGAAUUGWCGGAAGGGCACCACCAGGAGUGGAGCUUGCGGCUUAAUUUGACUCAACACGGGAAACCUCACCCGGCCAAUACAUUGUUAGGAUUGACAGACCGAUAGCUCUUUCAUGAUUCAUUGAAUGGUGGUGCAUGGCCGUUCUUAGUUCGUGGAUUGAUUUGUCUGGUUUAUUCCGAUAACGAGCGAGACUUUGACUAUUAAAUAGUGCAGUUGUUAAUGCGCAACUGAUCACUUCUUAAAAGAAUUUGUGGUUUCAAACCUCAAGAGAUUGAGCAAUAACAGGUCUGUGAUGCCCUUAGAUGUUCGGGGCCGCACGCGUGCUACAAUGAUGGUGGCAGCGUGAUUGUCCUGUCCCGAAAGGGAUUGGCAAACAGUUGAAUUAUUAUUAUGACUGGAAUUGAGUAUUG
rnacentral:rRNA from 1 species